AUUGAACGCUGGCGGUAGGCCUAACACAUGCAAGUCGAGCGGUAACAGAUUGAUAGCUUGCUAUCAAUGCUGACGAGCGGCAGACGGGUGAGUAAUGCCUGGGAAUAUACCCUGAUGUGGGGGAUAACUAUUGGAAACGAUAGCUAAUACCCCAUAAUCUCUUCGGUGCAAAGAGGGGGACCUGCGGGCCUCUCGCGUCAGGAUUAGCCCAGGUGGGAUUAGCUAGUUGGUGGGGUAAUGGCUCACCAAGGCGACGAUCCCUAGCUGGUCUGAGAGGAUGAUCAGCCACACUGGAACUGAGACACGGUCCAGACUCCUACGGGAGGCAGCAGUGGGGAAUAUUGCACAAUGGGGGAAACCCUGAUGCAGCCAUGCCGCGUGGAGGAAGAAGGCCUUCGGGUUGUAAAGUACUUUCAGUUGUGAGGAAGGCGUUGGAGUUAAUAGCUUUAGCGUUUGACGUUAGCAACAGAAGAAGCACCGGCUAACUCCGUG
rnacentral:rRNA from 1 species